AACUGAAAGACCCUUCCCGGAGUCAAGGCACUUCCGGGUUCAGGAAGGAACUGAUCAGCUGAUCAGAGGCUGCAGGUCCAGCUGGACCCGGAUCAGGACCAGGUCCAUCAUGUCUGCAGGUCCAGCUGGACCCGGAUCAGGACCAGGUCCAUCAUGCCUGCAGGUCCAGCUGGACCCGGAUCAGGACCAGGUCCAUCAUGCCUGCAGGUCCAGCUAGACCAGGAUCAGGGGGACCAGGUCCAUCAUGCCUGCAGGUCCAGCUAGACCAGGAUCAGGACCAGGUCCAUCAUGUCUGCAGGUCCAUCAUGUCUGCAGGUCCAGCUGGACCAGGAUCAGGACCAGGUCCAUCAUGUCUGCAGGUCCAUCAUGCCUGCAGGUCCAGCUGGACCAGGAUCAGGACCAGGUCCAUCAUGUCUGCAGGUCCAGCUGGACCCGGAUCAGGACCAGGUCCAUCAUGUCUGGGGAACUCCUGCAGGCGUGGAGCAUGAAGCUCAGCGACCCUGAAACGUUUCAUGGUUUGAAGUCUUCCUCUGAAGGGUCCAGCUGGUCUGUGGUUCCCAUGGCUCUCAGCAGAACUGUGGUCCAGUUCACCUGUGCUCAGGAACCGGUUCUUCUGGAUCUGACGUGAACAGGAACCUGAACAGCUGAACUCUGACUUCAGCUGGAAAGAACGUUCAUAGAGAAUCCGGAAACAGCUGAUCCUGCAGAACACUUCCUGUUUGUGUCCAAAUCUCACCUGUGUCAGGUGAGCAGAGUGUUGAUGGUCUCUGUUUACCUGUGGUUCAGAGUUCAUGAUGAGGAACAGUCAGACGUUCAUGUUCCAUCGUCAAAGAAACGUUCCUUCAGAAUAAAAGUCUUCUCAGAUUCAGA